rnacentral:rRNA from 1 species
GCGGUAGAGAGAAGCUUGCUUCUCUUGAGAGCGGCGGACGGGUGAGUAAUGCCUAGGAAUCUGCCUAGUGGUGGGGGAUAACGUUCGGAAACGGACGCUAAUACCGCAUACGUCCUACGGGAGAAAGCGGGGGACCUUCGGGCCUCGCGCCAUUAGAUGAGCCUAGGUCGGAUUAGCUAGUUGGUGAGGUAAUGGCUCACCAAGGCGACGAUCCGUAACUGGUCUGAGAGGAUGAUCAGUCACACUGGAACUGAGACACGGUCCAGACUCCUACGGGAGGCAGCAGUGGGGAAUAUUGGACAAUGGGCGAAAGCCUGAUCCAGCCAUGCCGCGUGUGUGAAGAAGGUCUUCGGAUUGUAAAGCACUUUAAGUUGGGAGGAAGGGUAGUAACUUAAUACGUUGCUACUUUGACGUUACCGACAGAAUAAGCACCGGCUAACUUCGUGCCAGCAGCCGCGGUAAUACGAAGGGUGCAAGCGUUAAUCGGAAUUACUGGGCGUAAAGCGCGCGUAGGUGGUUCAGUAAGUUGGAAGUGAAAUCCCCGGGCUCAACCUGGGAACUGCUUUCAAAACUGCUGAGCUAGAGUACGGUAGAGGGUGGUGGAAUUUCCUGUGUAGCGGUGAAAUGCGUAGAUAU